ensembl:lncRNA
AGCUUUACAUUACCCUGCAAUACCAUCAGCUUUUCAGUACGGUGUAAUACCAUCAGCUUUAUACUACCCUGUAAUACCAUCAGCUUUACACUACCCUGUAAUACCAUCAGCUUUACAGUACGGUGUAAUACCAUCAGCUUUACACUACCCUGUAAUACCAUCAGCUUUAUACUACCCUGUAAUACCAUCAGCUUUAUACUACACUGUAAUACCAUCAGCUUUAUACUACCCUGUAAUACCAUCAUCUUUAUACUACCCUGUAAUACCAUCAGCUUUAUACUACCCUGUAAUACCAUCAGCUUUAUACUAUGGUGUAAUACCAUCAGCUUUACACUACCCUGUAAUACCAUCAGCUUUAUACUACCCUGUAAUACCAUUAGCAUUAUACUACCCUGCAAUACCAUCAGCUUUACAGUACGGUGUAAUACAAUCAGCUUUAUACUACCCUGUAAUACCAUCAGCUUUACAGUACGGUGUAAUACCAUCAGCUUUACACUACCCUGUAAUACCAUCAGCUUUAUACUACCCUGUAAUACCAUCAGCUUUAUACUACCCUGUAAUACCAUCAGCUUUAUACUACCCUGUAAUACCAUCAGCUUUAUACUAUGGUGUAAUACCAUCAGCUUUACACUACCCUGUAAUACCAUCAGCUUUAUACUAUGGUGUAAUACCAUCAGCUUUACACUACCCUGUAAUACCAUCAGCUUUAUACUACCCUGUAAUACCAUCAGCUUUAUACUAUGGUGUAAUACCAUCAGCUUUACACUACCCUGUAAUACCAUCAGCUUUAUACUACCCUGUAAUACCAUCAGCUUUAUACUACCCUGUAAUACCAUCAGCUUUAUACUACCCUGUAAUACCAUCAGCUUUACACUACCCUGUAAUACCAUCAGCUUUACAGUACGGUGUAAUACCAUCAGCUUUACAGUACGGUGUAAUACCAUCAGCUUUACACUACCCUGUAAUACCAGCAGCUUUAUACUACCCUGUAAUACCAUCAGCUUUAUACUACCCUGUAAUACCAUCAGCUUUAUACUACCCUGUAAUACCAUCAGCUUUACACUACCCUGUAAUACCAUCAGCUUUACAGUACGGUUUAAUACCAUCAGCUUUACACUAUCCUGUAAUACCAUCAGCUUUACACUACCCUGUAAUACCAUCAGCUUUACAGUACGGUGUAAUACCAUCAGCUUUAUACUACCCUGUAAUACCAUCAGCUUUAUACUAUGGGGUAAUACCAUCAGAUUUACACUACCCUGUAAUACCAUCAGCUUUAUACUACCCUGUAAUACCAUCAGCUUUAUACUAUGGUGUAAUACCAUCAGCUUUACACUACCCUGCAAUACCAUCAGCUUUAUACUACCCUGUAAUACCAUCAGCUUUACACUACCCUGUAAUACCAUCAGCUUUACACUACCCUGUUAUACCAUCAGCUUUAUACUACCCUGUAAUACCAUCAGCUUUACACUACCCUGUUAUACCAUCAGCUUUAUACUGUGGUGUCAUACCAUCAGCUUUAUACUAUGGUGUAAUACCAUCAGCUUUACACUACCCUGUAAUACCAUCAGCUUUACACUACCCUGUUAUACCAUCAGCUUUAUACUACCCUGUUAUACCAUCAGCUUUACACUACCCUGUAAUACCAUCAGCUUUAUACUACCCUGUAAUACCAUCAGCUUUACACUACCCUGUAAUACCAUCAGCUUUACAGUACGGUGUAAUACCAUCAGCUUUAUACUACCCUGUAAUACCAUCAGCUUUAUACUGUGGUGUACUAUACUUUACGUUUCAGGGAAUAGGGUGCCUUUUGGGACACAGUCUGCCUGUUAUAUUUGUAUUUUGUCUGAAUCCCCAUUAGCUGCUGCCAACAAUUAA